rnacentral:rRNA from 1 species
UAGGGAAUCUUCCACAAUGGGCGAAAGCCUGAUGGAGCAACGCCGCGUGUGUGAUGAAGGGUUUCGGCUCGUAAAACACUGUUGUAAGAGAAGAAUGACAUUGAGAGCAACUGUUCAAUGUGUGACGGUAUCUUACCAGAAAGGAACGGCUAAAUACGUGCCAA